AGUGAACGCUGGCGGUAGGCCUAACACAUGCAAGUCGAACGGCAGCACAGUAAGAGCUUGCUCUUACGGGUGGCGAGUGGCGGACGGGUGAGGAAUACAUCGGAAUCUACUUUUUCGUGGGGGAUAACGUAGGGAAACUUACGCUAAUACCGCAUACGACCUACGGGUGAAAGCAGGGGAUCUUCGGGCCUUUCGCGAUUGAAUGAGCCGAUGUCGGAUUAGCUAGUUGGCGGGGUAAAGGCCCACCAAGGCGGCGAUCCGUAGCUGGUCUGAGAGGAUGAUCAGCCACACUGGAACUGAGACACGGUCCAGACUCCUACGGGAGGCAGCAGUGGGGAAUAUUGGACAAUGGGCGCAAGCCUGAUCCAGCCAUACCGCGUGGGUGAAGAAGGCCUUCGGGUUGUAAAGCCCUUUUGUUGGGAAAGAAAAGCAGCAGGUUAAUACCCCGCUGUUCUGACGGUACCCAAAGAAUAAGCACCGGCUAACUUCGUG
rnacentral:rRNA from 1 species